rnacentral:ncRNA from 1 species
UAUCUUCAGGGCGAGGUGAAAUUCCUCACCGGUGGUUACAGUCCGCGAUUUCCUAUAAGAGGAAGAUGAUUUGGUGAAAUUCCAAAACCGACAGUAAAGUCUGGAUGAAAGAAGAUU